CAUUCAUAGAGUGUAAAGGCAUAAGGGAGCUUGACUGCGAGACCUACAAGUCGAGCAGGGUCGAAAGACGGACUUAGUGAUCCGGUGGUUCCGCAUGGAAGGGCCAUCGCUCAACGGAUAAAAGCUACCCCGGGGAUAACAGGCUUAUCUCCCCCAAGAGUUCACAUCGACGGGGAGGUUUGGCACCUCGAUGUCGGCUCAUCGCAUCCUGGGGCUGUAGUCGGUCCCAAGGGUUGGGCUGUUCGCCCAUUAAAGCGGUACGCGAGCUGGGUUCAGAACGUCGUGAGACAGUUCGGUCCCUAUCCGUCGUGGGCGUAGGAAAUUUGAGAGGAGCUGUCCUUAGUACGAGAGGACCGGGAUGGACAUACCUCUGGUGUACCAGUUGUCGUGCCAACGGCAUAGCUGGGUAGCUAUGUGUGGACGGGAUAAGUGCUGAAAGC
rnacentral:rRNA from 1 species